rnacentral:lncRNA from 1 species
UUAGUGAAGCUGGAACCACUUACACCAUGAUUGUCUCAAUUUUCCAUUUAUUUUUAUGUACUGCCCUAUUUGCUUAUUAUUAUAUGGUGCAUGUUCUUAAAUUAUAUUUUCUAUAACCUUAUCAAUUUAUCUUAUUUAUUCAGUUAUAUACUGUCAGCAUGAAUAUAGUUUAAUUAAUAUGUAAUUGUAAUAUGAGAUAUUGAUGUGCAUAGUUGGUUAUUUUGUUA